rnacentral:lncRNA from 1 species
AGUUUACGGAGGCACUUUCAGAACUGAUCAGAAGCCACCCCGCUUAUCAGCAGAUCUCAGGAGAGUGUUCAGUGGAGGCCCUGCCGGUCUGCACAGCUCACCUCCCUGGGAACUGCUCGCCUGAGCGUCGGAGCCGGCCCUGGCCCCCUGCAGCCAGAAAGUUGCAGCCGCAGGAGCCCCGGAGGCCCAGGACGCAGGGGGAGGAACAGGAAGAGAAGAGUGUGGCCUCCUAGAAAUCUAGCACGGAGAAAGACUGGUCUUGAACUCCUGACCUCGUGAUACUCAGCCUCCCAAAGUGCUGGGAUUACAGGAGUGAACCACCAAGCCCGGCUUGACCUCUUGGCUUUUACCAAAGGAUGUUUGCUUCUGAGGAAGCUGGAAGCUGCAGCCACAAUGUGCCUUUGCAGGGGAGCCUGAGAGCCACAGAUGUUAAGGAGAACUGCAAACCACUGUUCAAUGAAAUAAAAGAGAAUACAAACAAAUGGAACAACAUUCCACGCUCAUGGGUUGGAAGAAUCAAUAUCGUGAAAAUGGCCAUACUGCCCAAGGUAAUUUAUAGAUUCAAUGCCAUCCCCAUCAAGCUACCAAUGACUUUCUUCACAGAAUUGGAAAAAACUACUUUAAAGUUCAUAUGGAACAAAAAAGAGCCCGCAUCGCCAAGUCAAUCCUAAGCCAAAAGAACAAAGCCAGAGGCAUCAUGCUACCUGACUUCAAACUAUACUACAAGGCUACAAUAACCAAAACAGCAUGGUACUGGUACCAAAACAGAGAUAUAGAUCAAUGGAACAGAACAGAGUCCUCAGAAAUAACACCACAUAUCUACAACCAUCUGAUCUUUGACAAACCUGACAAAAACAAGCAGUGGGGAAAGGAUUCCCUAUUUAAUAAAUGGUGCUGGGAAAACUGGCUAGUCAUAUGUAGAAAGCUGAAACUGGAUCCCUUCCUUACACCUUAGACAAAAAUUAAUUCAAGAUGGAUUAAAGACUUACAUGUUAGAACUAAAACCAUAAAAACCCUAGAAGAAAACCUAGGCAAUACCAUUCAGGACAUAGGCAUGGGCAAGGACUUCAUGUCUAAAACACCAAAAGCAAUGGCAACAAAAGCCAAAAUUGACAAACGGGAUCUAACUAAACUAAAGAGCUUCUGCACAGCAAAAGAAACUACCAUCAGACUGAACAGGCAACCUACAAAAUGGGAGAAAAUUUUCGCAACCUACUCAUCCAACAAAGGGCAAAUAUCCAGAAUCUACAAUGAACUCAAAUAAAUUUACAAGAAAAAAACAAACAACCCCAUCAAAAAGUGGGCGGAGGAUAUGAACAGACACUUCUCAAAAGAAGACAUUUAUGCAGCCAAAAAACACAUGAAAAAAUGCUCAUCAUCACUGGCCAUCAGAGAAAUGCAAAUCAAAACCACAAUGAGAUACCAUCUCACACCAGUUAGAAUGGCGAUCAUUAAAAAGUCAGGAAACAACAGGUGCUAGAGAGGAUGUGGAGAAAUAGGAACACUUUUACACUGUUGUUGGGACUCUAAACUAGUUCAACCAUUGUGGAAGUCAGUGUGGCGAUUCCUCAGGGAUCUAGAACUAGAAAUACCAUUUGACCCAGCCAUCCCAUUACUGGGUAUAUACCCAAAGGACUAUAAAUCAUGCUGCUAUAAAGACACAUGCACACGUAUGUUUAUUGCGGCACCAUUCACAAUAGCAAAGACUUGGAACCAACCCAAAUGCCCAACAACGAUAGACUGGAUUAAGAAAAUGUGGCACUUAUACACCAUGGAAUACUAUGCAGCCAUAAAACAUGAUGAAACUGGAAACCAUCAUUCUCAGCAAACUAUCACAAGGACAAAAAACCAAACACCGCAUGUUCUCACUCAUAGGUGGGAAUUGAACAAUGAGAACACAUGGACACAGGAAGGGGAACAUCACACCCCGGGGACUGUUGUGGGGUGGGGGGAGGGGGGAGGGAUAGCAUUUGGAGAUAUACCCAAUGCUAAGUGACAAGUUAAUGGGUGCAGCACACCAACAUGGCACAUGUAUACAUAUGUAACAAACCUGCACAUUGUACACAUGUACCCUAAAACUUAAAGUAUAAUAAUAAUAAAAUAAAAUAAAAUAAAUAGUUAAUGAAUGGAGUUCUGCAGGCUUUGCUUUAAAGAACAGAUCUACAGUAUUUUAUUGGGGAAUGUAAUCUCAGUGUCAUCUCUGAGGCAUGUUUACUGCUAUAUCUCUAUCGAGCACCUGAAGUAAGUAGUGCCUGGAACAGAGGAAUGACUCAGGGUGUGGUGACUGGACUGGAUGGCACUUUCAAAGCACUGGACCUGUCCCACGAUGGGGCAGUGAGUUUCCCGUCCCUCUACCUAUAAGGUACCUAAAAGGUUUAGCCUUGCGUGUGGUAGAUGUGCUUUGAAGGGGGUUUAGGAGACAGUCUAGGAGAUGACCCUUAAGUAACCUGCCUACAAUCUCCUUUACACUCAGGUGAUCAGUGAAGUUUUUUUUCAGGGACAAUGUAAAACAGUAGUUCUGCUGGUAUCACUGACUACGUAUUAGAAUCACCUAUGAACUCUUAAACACUAGUGCCCAUAGGCCCUAUUCUCAGGAUUUUGAUUUAAUUAAUGUAGGCUGACACCUAUUCAUCUGUUCUUAAUGCUUUCUGAGUAAUCCUAAAGUGCAGUGAAGGUGGACAACCACUAAUGUGGAAAAAAACAAAACAAAACAAAAACACUCCAAUAUGCAAUACAACUUCACAGCUAGCUCAGAACUAGUUCUCUGCAGGUCUCAUAAUUUAUAAUAAUUUCUGCUUGGAAGCCAGAAGGCCCGUUCCUUUAUUGUCACCAUAGCCGAAAAGCGUAAUCUUCAAGGCCUGAUUCAUCCUUACCUCCUCCAGGAAGCCUUCUCUGCCUGUUCCAGCCUAUUUUUCUGUCCCCUUAUUGUACUUCCUGCCAGUGCUUGCAUCCCUGCUUUGACUCAUAUCCCUUUGGCCCUUCUCUCAUAUCCCUUGUGCCCUUCUCCUUUCCUUUCCUGAGCCUCCACCACACUCCAAAUUGAAUACUCUAAAAGGUUUAGCCCUGCAUGUGGUAGAGGUGCUUUGAAAGGGUUUUUUAGGAGACAGUCUAGGAGAUGACCCAUCCUGUGCAUGUCUACUCACCAAACCCUGUUUUAUAAUUGCCUGCCCAUUUGUAUGUCUCUGAAUGAAACUGUGUACACCCCGAGAGGAAGAACUGUGAUAUAUUUACCUUGGCAACCACAGCACUUAGUGCAUGCAAUAGAGUAAACACAAUUGCACAAAUGGAUGGAAGGAAGGAUGAAUGAGUGGACAGAUGGAUGAAUGAAGGAGUAGUACUCUUUGUGGGGCUUAACUGCACUGUCUGAAUUGAUUAGUGUCUCUACUACAUUUCUCAUGUGUCUCUAUUACAUCUAUGUAACUUGGGAAAGAAUAUUUCCUAGUAAUCGCUUUUUCCCAUCCAUAAAUUUUAUCUGCCAGCUGACUGACUCACAGCCUGAAAGGAACUUGUUUAUUAUAGUUUUCUGUAAUAAAAGACCAAAUCUUAACGUCACAUUACAAGAUUAGAAAAGGUCUUAUCAUUUACUGAACCCUUACUGGGUCCUGGGGGCUUUAAAUUCAUUAUCUCUUUAUGUCAACUCCUCCUAUUUGUCAGUUGUAGAAUCUGAGACUCAGAGUUUAAAGUAACUUGCUUCAAACCACACUCAGCAGUAGUUGAGAUUCAAGCCUAGGUUCUUUCCCACAGAGGCUCAUUUCUUCUCCUGUCCCAGUUUCUGUCCCUCAAGUAGAGACUAUAGGGGUACUAACAUUAAAUACUUCAACACAAGGUCAGUCUAGAAGCUCCACGAGGACCCAAACCCGACAGACCUGGACCUUAACAGUGUUCUGAGGAUCCUGCACAUGCUCCAGGGUUGCAUCAACAUCCAGGGCAACCACCAACCCAGAGUUAAACUGCAAAGGGUUGUCUGACUCGCCCGCUGGCUCAAUGAUGGUGGCUGAGGCUUUGUGGAUCUGUAAGCCAGAGGAAAAUCCUAUGAUUCUAAAGCCAGGUCAUUCCUGGACAAGAAAACACAUCUUUUUUCUGUCUCCUUAUCUAAUGAGUGGGCAUGUGGGAGCCACUCAGAGGAAGAGCCUAGCCCAGCUGCUCCAUUGGUCAAAGAAGAUCACCAAGGUAAAGAUUUUUGACCGUCUGGACAGAUUUGGCCUACAGGGGCCAAAUAGACCCUGACCUGCUCUGGAAGUGGGAGAUGCAGAAAGGCACUCUGUCGCAGCAUGGUCUGUAGAAUUUUGACCACUUCUGCAGGUUUGGAUGUCAUGAGUCGGGGCAUAAGGUCAAGGAGUUUGUCCACAAAGCUGUCCUGCAAGUGGGGCAAAUCAGCGAUGAAAUACCUGGAGGAACAAACAGAAGCAACUGACUCAUUCAACUGUGCACACAUUCACCACAGGCUGGGCCCCAGACACCUACCAAACCCUGAAGUAGGAAGAAUGAUGAAGUG